CAGAUUCCUACCUGCCAGCCGUAUGUGAGGCACCCUUCGCUGUGGAUGGCACUACGUUGACACCUCGAGCCCGGUCCAGGAUGAAGUUUAAAGGAGACCAGAAACGAUCGCUCAGUCCUUCGGUGAGUGACGUCACUGGAGUGUGCGCAGGAGUAAGGUCAUGUCUUGAGGAGUUGAGCACUGCUGCAGAAGGAGGAGGAGGAGAAGGAGGAGAGGGAGA